rnacentral:rRNA from 1 species
UACGUAGGGGGCAAGCGUUGUCCGGAAUCAUUGGGCGUAAAGCGCGUGUAGGCGGCCAGAAAAGUCCGCUGUGAAAACUCGAGGCUCAACUUCGAGCUGUCGGUGGAAACUUUCUGGCUAGAGUCCGGAAGAGGAGAAUGGAAUUCCUGGUGUAGCGGUGAAAUGCGCAGAUAUCAGGAAGAACACCCGUGGCGAAGGCGGUUCUCUGGGACGGUACUGACGCUGGAGACGCGAAAGCGUGGGGAGCGAACAGGA